GCUUUGUUAGGCGCUGCGGGAUCAGCGAAUCGCAUACUGGAAAGUGCAAGAGAGCGAAUGAGAAAUGUGGGAACGGAGGAAUUCAUAAAGUCUGGAGUUGGAGGACUCGGCAAAUUGAUAUCUGUGUACAACGAGAUGUUCUCAAGGCAUCACAAUUAAGAGUGUAAUAAGAAUGUUUGGACUCAUUAACAUGUCUGUUUCUGCAGAGUCGGUAGAAUGACAAGGAAGGAAGUGGAUCAAUUGUGCAAGACACACUGGGGAGACGUUGGAGUGAGAGAUGCAUUUGAGGAGUUUAUUUCCAUGGAGGAAAGUUGGGAUGGAUUUCUAUUGCAAAUUGACAAGCAGAGAGAUCAUGU